rnacentral:lncRNA from 1 species
ACAAUGGGGGCCCAAGGUGAGAUGAAGCUGUAGUCUCACUGGAAGGACUAGAGGUUAGAGGAGACCCCCCCGAAACAAAAAACAGCAUAUUGACGCUGGGAAAGACC